GACAGGACUCUUUGAUCUCUUGCUCAAAGGACACAAUCUUCCUGUCCAGCGUCUCCAAGGUGAAGGCUUUCCCUGAGAUCUGUUAAUGACAGACACUCGCCUUGGACGUUCUCGAUCCAGAUGUCAACACCUGGAGUGUCACAGCAGUCAAUAACAGUAAAAAACAAAAGUCGAACGACAUGUAACUGAGUGAUACGUCCUGCCGUCUUACCUUCGAAGCAGCACGAGGACGGCUGACUGGCUGAGGCCAACCACUCCAAGUGUCCGUCUGUCCGACUGUUGCAGGAGGAAAAGACUCCAGAGCUCAGAUCAUCAGACGAAUGAUCAGAGUCCUUAAAAAUGGAGAGAACGUUUUCAGAACGUUUUAAUUCCACAUGUGCGGCACACGUACACCUGCGACUUCACAACACACACCUUCUCUGAGGCGUCUAUCUGUGAUGUGUCUGAGCAGCUGAAACAGGAUGGAGGGUCGUCUCGAGGUUCAGGGGACGGGGUCUGGAUUGUGGUGCCCAAAGCUGUGCAUCAUCUUGAUACUUUUGCGUGGCUGUGGUGGAGCGGGUCAUCCAUCAAUCAGAAGAUCAGUGGUUCAAACCCCGGCUCCUCCACUUUGCAUGUCGAAGUAUCCUUGGGCAAGAUACUGAAUGCUCCCGAUGGCUGUUCCAUCAGUGUAUGAAUGUAAGUGAAUGUGACCCUGUGAAAGCACACUGAGUGGUCAGAAGACUAGAAAGGUGCUAUACAAGUGCAGUCCAUUUACCAUGAUCCGCUAAGGCAUGCCCUGUGUUCCCCUUUAAGACACACUGGAAAAAACCCUGUGUUACUUUAAAUAUGCACCAGAGAGGAAAAGCUCUGAAAUCACACUGAGAUGCAGCGUCCUGAUAAAAUGUAGCUGCAUCAGAUGAAAUGAGGGAUUCUGGACAUGUAUAAACAAACUGUUAGAGAGGAGUGUAUCUGCUGAGCUGUCCUCAUGACGCAGAGU